UACGUAGGGUGCAAGCGUUGUUCGGAAUUACUGGGCGUAAAGGGCGCGUAGGCGGUUUGCUAAGUUGGAUGUGAAACUCUGGGCUUAACCCAGAGCCUGCAUCCAAAACUGGCAAACUUGAGUACUGGAGGGAAGCGGAAUUCCUGGUGUAGCGGUGAAUGCGUAGAUAUCAGGAGGAACACCGGUGGCGAAGGCGGCUUCUGGACAGUAACUGACGCUGAGGCGACGAAGCUAGGGAGCAACAGG
rnacentral:rRNA from 1 species